CCUGGCUCAGAUUGAACGCUGGCGGCAUGCUUUACACAUGCAAGUCGAACGGUAACAGGUCUUCGGAUGCUGACGAGUGGCGAACGGGUGAGUAAUACAUCGGAACGUGCCUAGUAGUGGGGGAUAACUACUCGAAAGAGUAGCUAAUACCGCAUGAGAUCUACGGAUGAAAGCAGGGGACCUUCGGGCCUUGUGCUACUAGAGCGGCUGAUGGCAGAUUAGGUAGUUGGUGGGGUAAAGGCUUACCAAGCCUGCGAUCUGUAGCUGGUCUGAGAGGACGACCAGCCACACUGGGACUGAGACACGGCCCAGACUCCUACGGGAGGCAGCAGUGGGGAAUUUUGGACAAUGGGCGAAAGCCUGAUCCAGCAAUGCCGCGUGCAGGAUGAAGGCCCUCGGGUUGUAAACUGCUUUUGUACGGAACGAAAAGCCUGGGGCUAAUAUCCCCGGGUCAUGACGGUACCGUAAGAAUAAGCACCGGCUAACUACGUGCCAGCAGCCGCGGUAAUACGUAGGGUGCAAGCGUUAAUCGGAAUUACUGGGCGUAAAGCGUGCGCAGGCGGUUUUGUAAGACAGUGGUGAAAUCCCCGGGCUCAACCUGGGAACUGCCAUUGUGACUGCAAGGCUAGAGUGCGGCAGAGGGGAAUGGAAUUCCGCGUGUAGCAGUGAAAUGCGUAGAUAUGCGGAGGAACACCGAUGGCGAAGGCAAUCCCCUGGGCCUGCACUGACGCUCAUGCACGAAAGCGUGGGGAGCAAACAGGAUUAGAUACCCUGGUAGUCCACGCCCUAAACGAUGUCAACUGGUUGUUGGGUCUUAACUGACUCAGUAACGAAGCUAACGCGUGAAGUUGACCGCCUGGGGAGUACGGCCGCAAGGUUGAAACUCAAAAGGAAUUGACGGGGACCCGCACAAGCGGUGGAUGAUGUGGAUUAAUUUCGAUACAACGCGAAAAACCUUACCC
rnacentral:rRNA from 1 species